CAAUCAGCUUUGAUGAAGAGUAGUAGCUAUUAUUAUUUGUGAUAGAGAGCUAGUGGUUGGUGGAAACUAGUACAAAUGAAUGGCGAAUGGACUUCGGAGCUCUAAUCCAGAAUAACAGAGUAUGGAUUAGCGUAUGCCUACGUUAUAAGGCUUAGAGUGGGUCUUGCGAUAAGACCAAUAAAGGUGGCACCACGGCUUUUCCGUCCUUUUG
rnacentral:ncRNA from 1 species